rnacentral:rRNA from 1 species
UACGAAGGGGGCUAGCGUUGCUCGGAAUCACUGGGCGUAAAGGGUGCGUAGGCGGGGCUUUAAGGCAGGGGUGAAAUCCUGGAGCUCAACUCCAGAACUGCCUUUGAUACUGAAGAUCUUGAGUCCGGGAGAGGUGAGUGGAACUGCGAGUGUAGAGGUGAAAUUCGUAGAUAUUCGCAAGAACACCAGUGGCGAAGGCGGCUCACUGGCCCGGUACUGACGCUGAGGCACGAAAGCGUGGGGAGCAAACAGG